rnacentral:rRNA from 1 species
GGGGGGGGGUGGGGCUGCACUGAUUCCUAGCGGCGGACGGGUGAGUAAUGCUUAGGAAUCUGCCUAUUAGUGGGGGACAACGUUCCGAAAGGGACGCUAAUACCGCAUACGUCCUACGGGAGAAAGCAGGGGAUCUUCGGACCUUGCGCUAAUAGAUGAGCCUAAGUCGGAUUAGCUAGUUGGUGGGGUAAAGGCCUACCAAGGCGACGAUCUGUAGCGGGUCUGAGAGGAUGAUCCGCCACACUGGGACUGAGACACGGCCCAGACUCCUACGGGAGGCAGCAGUGGGGAAUAUUGGACAAUGGGGGGAACCCUGAUCCAGCCAUGCCGCGUGUGUGAAGAAGGCCUUUUGGUUGUAAAGCACUUUAAGCGAGGAGGAGGCUUACCUGGUUAAUACCUGGGAUAAGUGGACGUUACUCGCAGAAUAAGCACCGGCUAACUCUGUGCCAGCAGCCGCGGUAAUACAGAGGGUGCAAGCGUUAAUCGGAUUUACUGGGCGUAAAGCGCGCGUAGGUGGCUAAUUAAGUCAAAUGUGAAAUCCCCGAGCUUAACUUGGGAAUUGCAUUCGAUACUGGUUAGCUAGAGUAUGGGAGAGGAUGGUAGAAUUCCAGGUGUAGCGGUGAAAUGCGUAGAGAUCUGGAGGAAUACCGAUGGCGAAGGCAGCCAUCUGGCCUAAUACUGACACUGAGGUGCGAAAGCAUGGGGAGCAAACAGGAUUAGAUACCCUGGUAGUCCAUGCCGUAAACGAUGUCUACUAGCCGUUGGGGCCCUUGAGGCUUUAGUGGCGCAGCUAACGCGAUAAGUAGACCGCCUGGGGAGUACGGUCGCAAGACUAAAACUCAAAUGAAUUGACGGGGGCCCGCACAAGCGGUGGAGCAUGUGGUUUAAUUCAAUGCAACGCGAAGAACCUUACCUUGGCCUUGACAUACAAAGAACUUUCCAGAAAUGGAUUGGUGCCUUCCGGGAACUCUUAUACAGGUGCUGCAUGGCUGUCGUCAGCUCGGGUCCUGGAGAUGUUGGGUUAAAGUCCCGCAACGAAGCGCAACCCUUUUUCCUUUUUUUCCCCCCCCUUUUUNNUUU